AACACCUCAAAUCCCACUUUCUCCCGUCAAAAGGAAAAAAUGGGAAUUGGACUUGAGCGAACCCAACACAACAUCUUCGGAUCGAGUGGCGGGUCGCUUGAAAUGCAGGUGCAGCUGGACAAUCUUCUGAGCUAAAAGCAUAACUUAUUUAGUCCCGUCAAACGGAUUAUUACUUUUGCUGCAGCUAACAUAAAGGAAGAUUGAUCCUAUAGCUGACUGAUGCAGGAAUUUACAGUGGUAUCUAGCGCAAGCGAAGUACCUCUGUUAA
rnacentral:misc_RNA from 1 species